rnacentral:rRNA from 1 species
CUCAGUUCGGAUUGGAGUCUGCAACCCGACUCCAUGAAGCUGGAUUCGCUAGUAAUCGCGCAUCAGCCACGGCGCGGUGAAUACGUUCCCGGGCCUUGUACACACCGCCCGUCAAGCCAUGAAAGCCGGGGGUACCUGAAGUGCGUAACCGCGAGGAGCGCCCUAGGGUAAAACUGGUGAUUGGGGCUAAGUCGUAACAAGGUACC